rnacentral:rRNA from 1 species
CACGUAGUUAGCCGGUGCUUCUUUACCCAUUACCGUCACUCACGCUUCGUCACAGGCGAAAGCGGUUUACAACCCGAAGGCCGUCAUCCCGCACGCGGCGUUGCUGCAUCAGGCUUCCGCCCAUUGUGCAAUAUUCCCCACUGCUGCCUCCCGUAGGAGUCUGGGCCGUAUCUCAGUCCCAAUGCGGCCGGUCACCCUCUCAGGCCGGCUACCCGUCAAAGCCUUGGUAAGCCACUACCCCACCAACAAGCUGAUAAGCCGCGAGUCCAUCCCCAACCGCCGAAACUUUCCAACCCCCACCAUGCAGCAGGAGCUCCUAUCCGGUAUUAGCCCCAGUUUCCUGAAGUUAUCCCAAAGUCAAGGGCAGGUUACUCACGUGUUACUCACCCGUUCGCCACUCGAGCACCCCACAAAAGCAGGGCCUUUCCGUUCGACUUGCAUGUGUUAAGCACGCCGCCAGCGUUCGUCCUGAGCCAGGAUCAAACUCU